rnacentral:rRNA from 1 species
GAUGAACGCUGGCGGCGUGCCUAAUACAUGCAAGUCGAGCGAACGGACGAGAAGCUUGCUUCUCUGAUGUUAGCGGCGGACGGGUGAGUAACACGUGGAUAACCUACCUAUAAGACUGGGAUAACUUCGGGAAACCGGAGCUAAUACCGGAUAAUAUUUUGAACCGCAUGGUUCAAAAGUGAAAGACGGUCUUGCUGUCACUUAUCGAUGGAUCCGCGCUGCAUUAGCUAGUUGGUAAGGUAACGGCUUACCAAGGCAACGAUGCAUAGCCGACCUGAGAGGGUGAUAGGCCACACUGGAACUGAGACACGGUCCAGACUCCUACGGGAGGCAGCAGUAGGGAAUCUUCCGCAAUGGGCGAAAGCCUGACGGAGCAACGCCGCGUGAGUGAUGAAGGUCUUCGGAUCGUAAAACUCUGUUAUUAGGGAAGAACAGAUGUGUAAGUAACUGUGCACAUCUUGACGGUACCUAAUCAGAAAGCCACGGCUAACUACGUG